rnacentral:rRNA from 1 species
UACGUAGGGCGCAAGCGUUGUCCGGAAUUAUUGGGCGUAAAGAGCUCGUAGGCGGUCUGUCGCGUCCGUUGUGAAAACUCGAGGCUCAACCUCGGGCUUGCAGUGGAUACGGGCAGACUAGAGUGCGGUAGGGGAGACUGGAAUUCCUGGUGUAGCGGUGAAAUGCGCAGAUAUCAGGAGGAACACCCGUGGCGAAGGCGGCCCCCUGGGCCGUACCUGACGCUGAGGCGCGAAGGCUAGGGGAGCGAACGGG